GUUGGAGCUUCUGGAUGAUCCAUUUUAAAAAGGUUUGCUUCAGGUUCACUCCCAGACAUGACGGCAGGACCUGGAAAAACAGAUAAUUCAGGAUCUAAUGACGUGUCCUCCGAAUUCAGCAUUAUUUUACAGUUUUUUCUUCUUCUAUUGCAAUAGUGCAUCCAAGUCCAGUUCUGGCAGAAGAUCUCUCCAAUAGGAGCAACUGCUGUACUCAGGACAGUCCAAAGCGGACGACGUGCUGCCCCCGAUGG